rnacentral:hammerhead_ribozyme from 1 species
AUCCAAUUAAUGAGUUCUGAAUAGGACGAAACGCACGUCCUGGAU